rnacentral:lncRNA from 1 species
CCUGGAGAGAGUCGCAAGCAAGUCGGCGGAGUCCUUGAGUGCAGAUACAGCGGAUUGUCGUAAAGUGGGGCGGAAAUCUGAAGAUACAAUGACUGCGGAGGUGGAGGAAGUGGAAGUGGAAGUGGAAGAAGAGAGAUAGGAUUUGUGUAGGGUUUUGGUGAAAGAAGGGGAGGGAGAUGGAUUGCAAUUCCUGGUGGUGAUGUUGGUGGGGAGAAAAUGCGAUCGGAAACUGGAGGAGACGGAUGGAGGUAGUGGAUAAGCGUUCAUCAGAGACACCGUCUGCAUCUCUCUCCCGGACUUCUAAACAGAUCUAAAUCCGUUAAUCCACACACUGCCAGUCUCAAUGCAGAAUUGCAGAUGUGAAAGAAAGAAAAAGAAAUCUAAACCGUCCAAUUUAUCCAUGUGACCAUGUUAUAACCUAGUUGUCCAAAAAUCAUUUAAUGGUCAUCAUAUGUAUUGAAUAAGGAUAAGAAUAGAAGUAUAAAUCUCAAAAAAAUUAGUCUGGACACUCCGAGUGCACUCUGUUAAAUUCAUGUUGCGGUGGAGCCGUUGGCGACAAUGUAGCAAGACCCCCAAGUCUGGGAUGGUCGAAGUGCAGCGAAGUGGCCAGAGAGACAGUUAGGGUUUUUCGCCCAAGAAGAAAGGGGCGAUACCUAUAAUAACUGCCGCUAGGAGGGAAUGAAGAAGAUUUUCGAGAAUUAACGUUAAUCAGUCAAAGUGAUUAACUAUUAUAUUAACUUAAUCAAUCAUUGUAAAUACAUCAUUUAUUUAUACAAUGUUUAUUCAGUAAUUAUCAACUAAUUCUCGUAUCUAAACUUGAUAGCUAAUUUUAACCAAGUAUAGCUUGUGGGCUGGACUCAUUUCGGCCCCUGUCCAUCGGUCCAGUUCCUGACCGUUAAUUCGGUUUGAAAUGUUCUUGUAAACAUACACAGAUAAUUAGAAAUAACAACCAGAUCCUUAUUUGACCUGGUUUACACUUUUGGUUAUUUUCUUAGUAAUCCCUGUAUUAAUUUCAUAAUAUUCGUGUACUUCACAAGUUAUAAUAAGUUAUUUAUAAUAAUAAGUUAUUUAUCAUAGUUGAAAUAUUAUAACCUUGUGCUUAUUUUAUUACGCUUAGGCCCUAAUAACGUUUUUGUUGAAACAUUUAUGAAUAAGUCCCUGUUAGUUAAUAACUAGCGGUUAUUCUGUUUUAUCACAACCUUUGAAUUAUUUUUAUUUUAUUUAGGUCCUUAGCUCAUGUUUCAUAAUAAGCAUAUUCUUAUACUCCCCCCUCAAGCCUUGAAAUACAUGUUAUGAAUUCCUAGCUUGACAGAGAAUGCUGAAAUCUCAUUUUCUCCUAGAGAUUUAGUAAAAAUAUUUGCAAGUUGGUAUUUUGUACCUACUUGUUUCAAUAGAAUUAUCCCUUUAUCUAUCAUUUUCCUUAUGGAAUGACAUGAGAUUUCUAUAUGCUUACUCCUUUCAUGAAAUACUGGAUUAUUAGCAAGAUAAAUUGCUGAUUUGUUGUCACAGUAUAGUGAUGUUGGCAUUUGUAUUUUUAGUUUUAAAUCUUUAAAAAGUUGAUGCAGCCAUAGUAUUUCACAUUGUGUUUUACUAAUGACUCUAUAUUCAGCUUCACAAGCUUGGAUUUCCAAGAAAUUAAUGAUGUUCCUAAGAACAUACAAUAUCCUGCUGGUGACUUCCAGCUGAUUGAGAAAGAAGCCCAAUCUGAGUCACAAUACCCAUGAAGAUUCAUUUGGUUUUGACUUUUAUAUAAGAUGCCCUGUCCUGGAGCAUUUUUGAGAUAUUUUAUCACCUUGAAUAAAACUUGAAGGUGAGUUUCUUUAGGAUUUCCAAUGAACUGGCUUAGCCAAUGGACAAGGAAGCUUAGGUCAGGUCUAGUGAUAUUUAGGUAUAUAAGUUUACCCACUAGUGACCUAUAUAGAGUUGGGUUUGUUAAAACCUUGGUUUGCUCAUUUCUUAGAUGUACAUACCUCUCCAUGGGUACUUUUGAAGGUUUUGCAUCUAUGAGACCACUUUCUUCUAGUAUGCCUAAUGCAUACUUUCUUUGUGAUAUAUAUAUACCUUCUGGUGGGUAUGAGCCUUCAAUUCCUAAAAAAUAGGAUAACUUUCCUAAAUCCUUGAUUUUAAAGUUUUUUUCAAUAUUUUUUUUUAUUAAGAACAUCUCUGUCUCAUUGUUCCCUGUAAUAAUGAUAUCAUCAACAUAUACCAAUAGGUAUAUUAUAUUUUCAUUGUUGUUUUUAACAAACAAUGAAUAAUCAGAAGGUAUUUGGGAAAAUUCAUUUCAAGUAAAACUCCCUUCAAUUUUGCAAACCAGUUCUUAGAUACCUGUUUUAGGCCAUAUAGGGAUUUAUUUAAUUUGCAUACUCUUUUAUCUCUUUCAUUGAGGAGUCCUUGUGGUGGUUUGAGGUAUACUUCUUCAUGGAGGUCUCCAUGAAAAAAAGCAUUAUUUACAUCCAAUUGAUAGAUAUUCCAUUUUUUAAUUGCUGAAAUUGCAAUUAUUGUUUUAAUUGUGGCAUUUUGACCACAGGGGCAAAAGUUUCAUAAUAAUCAAAACUUUCUUUUUGGGUGAAUCCUUUUGCCACAAGUCUAGCCUUGUAUCUUUCUAUCUCACCAUUUGGUCUAUAUUUAAUUUUAUAAAUCCACUUAGAACCUACAAGUUUCCUAUCAUGAGGAAGUGUGGUUAAUGUCCAAGUUUUGUUUAAAUGAAGUGCCUCCAUUUCUUUUUUCAUUGCUUCUACCCAUUUUGGGUUUUUAGAAGCUUCUGAAAAUGAUUGAGGCUCAUCAUGUAUUGAUAUUUGAUGAAGUAAUUUUUUAUGAUUUUUCUUAAUUCUAUGAUAUGAAACUUGAUUGCAUAUUGGGUAUUUUUUUUUUUUAUUAUUACAUCCAUAUUCCUUGUCAUUUUCAAGGAAAAAAUCCUUGUAUGCUUCUGAUAUAUGGAUUACUCUUCCUGUUCUUGUUGUUUUUUUUCCAGUUAUUUCCAUUGAUUUUUCUGGAAAUGUGCAGGGGACAGCUUGUUGAUGUUCAAUUUGAUCUCCUGUAGUCUUAGGAGUAAUAUUUUGUUGUUCUACUGGUAUUUCUAUAUUUGAUGAUCAUAUUUCAUCAUCAUUCUGAAUAUUUUCAGAAUUAUAGGCAUUCUGAACAUUUUCAGAAUUAUGGAUAGGAUUUCUAUCAUUUUGUAGGCUAUGAUUUGAUUCAAUAGCAUAAUUUUCUUUGUUUUUUCUCACACUGAUGUUUUCCAUAUGAUUGGUCAUCUGAUUUUGUGAGUUAUAUAAUUCAGGUUGUUCUGGAUAUGUUUGACCAGUUUCUGAUCUUGUAUCUGAAUUACUUAUCAGAUUAUGAGAUUUAUUUUUGUUUUAUGAUCUUAUGUUUUUAUUUAGAUCAUGGUUUUUAGUUUUGUUUUUAUCUUGGUUAUAACUUUUAUAGUCAUACCAAGACUUAUUUAAAUCAUCAUGAUAUAAAAAAACAGGGCGCAAUUUUGGAACGACCCUUUUUUCGAACGGUACAAUUCGCGGACAUUCGAUCCCGCCGUUCGUUCCUAUACCCUCUCCAAGCAGUUCGUUCGUCCUCCUAUACUCGAUUUCUGAAUUCGUUCGUUCGUCCGUCCGUCCUCCAUACCUCUCCAAGCCGUCCGUUCGAACCCAUCCCCCGGAACUGCAAUCGAGUUCCAGGAACCCAUCGCGAGUUCCUGGCAUGGAAUCGACGGUUCCAGGAGGCAUCGUGAGUUCCGGGGAACUCGAUUCCAGUUCCCUGGAACUCGCGAUGGGUUCCCGGAACUGCAAUCGACGGAUCCGCUACCGAUUCGACGAAGUUUCUCGAGAUCUGAGAGUUGGGAGGUUGCAGGGAUGGACGGAGAGACGGAGGACGUGGAUGAGGAGGCAGAUGAGUUAGGUGGGAGUGGGAGAGGGACGGCAAGUGGUGGGUCAGAUCUGGGGAAUGGAUCAGGUUUGGGGAUUGGGAGUGUUAGGUUGGGACGACGACGGUUGGUUGAUUGGGCGGAGGCUGCGACAGAAAUAGAGCCGACGGGACGGAGAGGAGUGGGAGUGUGUCUCAUAAUGGUUUUAGUCUUUUAAAUAAAUAAAAUCACUCCGGAUCACAGACGUGCCGCAGGGGACGGGUAGCCGUCUGUGAUCCGAAGUGUAAAAAAACAUUAUCAUAAUUUUUUUGAAAAUUAUUGGGUUUUUUUGUGUUUUCUGAAUUUAUGUUAUCUUUGAAUGAGAAUAUGGAUUCUCUAAAAGAUACAUCUCUGGAAAUAAAAAAUUUCCUGUCUGAAAACCUUAGUAUGAGGUAUCCUUUAAUACUUCUUGGAUAGCCCAUAAAAAUUUCUUGAAAAGUUUUUGGUGAAAAUUUGUUUUCUAUUUGUGUUGUUGAAGCAUAGCAUAGACAACCAAAAGAUUUUAAAUUUUCAUAGUUAGGUAUCUUCUUAUGAAUUAUUUUAUAAGGUGUUUUGUUUUCUAUAGUUUUAGAAGGAAUUUUAUUAAUUAGGCAGGCUGCUGUUAGAAAUGCACUCCCCCCAAUACUCUAAUGGAAUAUUUUCUUGAAGGUGUAAUGGUCUUGCAAUGUUCAAGAGAUGCCUAUGUUUUCUCUCUACCCUUGCAUUUUGUGCAGGGGUAUAAGAACAAGAAAAUUGUUGAAUUAUUCCAUAUUUUUCAACCAUUUUCUUAAAAUUGUUAGAAGUAAACUCUCCUCCAUUGUCACUUCUAAUAGUUUUGAUUUUGGUUCUAAAUUGUGUUUUAACCAUUUUAUAAAACUUUUCAAUACAUUUUAUUGCCAUUGAUUUAUUUUUAAUUAGAUAUAUCCAUGUGCCUCUACUCAAAUCUUCUACAAUAGUCAAAAAAUAAUUAAAACCAUCAUGGGUCAUAAUUGAAAAUUUGCCCAUAUAUCUACAUGAAUUGGAUCAAAAAUAUUUUCAGAUUUAGAAAACUAAUUGAGAAUUUAAGCUUAGCUUGUUUUGCUAAUGGACAUAUUCUACAAUUAUAUUGAAUAAAAUUUAUUUUAUUCAAAACAGAAUUUUUACCAAAAAAUUCAUUAUUACAAUCUGAAAAAUUAUUUUUAUCACAACUUGAACUAUCAUUAUUACAUUUGGUAUUUUUAUAUCUAAUUUUGUAUUUGGAGACUAGUGUCUAGCUUCAUUUUUCUGAAGAGAUGUGUCAUAAUCUUUGGUGCCAAGUUUUGAAAUCAAUGGCUGAAUUUGCUAGGAAAUAUUGGGGGGUGAAGAAAUAUAAUCCAUCACUAGACUCACCCUUGCCAAUCACUUUCCCAGAAUUGUUUUUCUGAAAUUGAAAACAAUGAUCAUCAAAAAUUACUUUAAUGUCAUUGUAUAAGGUUAACUUGCUUAUAGCUAUUAGAUUAACCUUGAAUUCAGGGAUAUAUACACUACAAGAAAUAAGACCUUGUAUGGCGGUCUUUAAAUGGCGGAUUUCCGCCAUCUAAAGACCGCCAUCUUGAACACCGUCAUUAAAACCCCAUAACCGUCAUCUAAAGACCGUCAUCUAUUAUCCAUCCCCAUUUCUCACCAAAAAUUGUAUAGAUGACGGAUUUCCGCCAUCUAAUCUCAAAAUUUUCGCGGGAACUGAAUCCGCCAUCUAAAAUAUCGCGCGGAAAAAGUUUGGCGUCAAUUCAUUGAUGACGGUUAAUUUUAUUGAUGACGGAUGUCCGCCGACUAUCCUUGUAACAUUAGAUGGCGGAAAUCCUUUUAUAUAAAACAUUCUUUAAAAAUAGAUUUUCUGAAAUUUUUAUGCAACCCACCUCUUGAACUAUUAAUGUUUUCCCACUAGGUAUAGUAGCAAAGUGAUUAGGUUCUUUAAUUGGUGGGUUGGUGAAUAAUUAUAGAUUACCAGUCAUGUGUUGUGAUGCACCAGUAUCUACUAUCCAUCUAUCAAUAUAAUUAUUAAUGUUAAAAGAAAAAAGAAAAAUAUUAUCAGAGUUUGACUUAGUUGAGGAGAUGAGUUCCUUGAACAGUUGGAUCUCUUCCUGGGUUAGCACUAGUUGUUGCUGGCUGUUGGAGGCAGUUGCUUGAUUUGCAACUUUUGAAGUUGUUGCAGUGCUGCUCUGGUUCUUUUUUCCUCGGAAUUUCUUCUGAAAUUUCUCUUUUGGUUUGCCUACUAGAUGAUAACAUUUCCCCCUUGUAUGGCCAUAAUAUUUACAGUUAUCACAGUAGAACCUAGUGUCAAGUUUCUUUCCAUUUUAGAAAACAUGAUUUUUGUUCCUUCUAUUGGAUUUUUAUCUUUAACAUAGAAGGUUGAUUCAUUUUUUUCAUUGCUAUUGUCCACCUCUGUUUCUCUUCUUGUAUAACUAACCCAAGAACCUUAUUCAUAUUGGGCAAAUUUUCUAAUAAAAGGAUUUGGGUUCUUAGGUUGUAGAAGCUUUCAUUCGGUCCUAAGAGGAACUGAUGAAUCAUGCACUCUCUUCUUUCUGUUGAUAAAGUUUCUUGCAUCCUUUGCAGAACUUUUCUUUUAUUUCAUCUAUUUGUACCAAUUGAUCCCAAAUAUAUCUGAAUUUGUCAUAAAAUUCAGAAGCAGACAUGGACCCUUGUUGUAAGCAACACAAUUCAUAUUUGAUUUGAUUUACUUUGGAAGUAUUCCCUUGUUUAUACUUACUCUCUAGAUCUAGCCAAACUUGAUGUGCAUCAUUAGUGUACAUAAUAGUUGAUUGAAUUUGAGGAGAAAUUGAAUUUAAAAUCCAUGCUAGUACUAAUCCAUUAACUAUUUUCCAUAUGUUAUACUCUCUAAUAGCAAAGUCUGUGGGCAUUAAAAUCUGUCUAGAGAUGAAGGCAUCUUUUCUUCUUGAAACCAAUGAGACAUUCAUCCCAUUGGACCGAGUUAUAUAGUUGGUUUCACCAAUUAGUACGUCUAUCAUGAACUAAUAUUGCCCCUGGGUGAUCACCGGAGGUUAAAAAAAAUGGAGACUCAGGAUCUUGUAAAGGAGAUAUAUACCUCUCGGAUCUUUGUCUCUUGAAAAUGGAGCUUUGAUACAAACCUUCUUCAUGAUUGUUUGCGCGAGAUUUUCCAGUGGACCCAGACGAGGAUUCGUGUGAAGCUGAUGGUGUCUCAAUUGGAUUGAGCGGCUGCGCAACAGACGCGGCUGGAUGAUUAGCCGAAAAUAAUGCGGAAGUGGCCGAACGAUUGACCGGAGGGACGUCAGGAGUGUUAUUGGCAGAUACCAUGUUAAAUUCCUAUUGCGGUGGAGCCGUUGGCGACAAUGUAGCAAGACCCCCAAGUAUGGGAUGGUCGAAGUGCAGCGGAGUGGCCAGAGAGACAAUUAGGGUUUUCCGCCCAAGAAGAAAGGGGCGAUACCUGCAAUAACUGACGCUAAGAGGGAAUGAAGAAGAUUUUCGAGAAUUAACGUUAAUCGGUCAAAGUGAUUAACUAUUGUAUUAACUUAAUCAAUCAUUGUAAAUACAUCAUUUAUUUAUACAAUGUUUAUUAAGUAAUUAUCAACUAAUUCUCGUAUCUAAACUUGUUAGCUAAUUUUAACCAAGUAUAGCUUGUGGGCUGGACUCAUUUCGGCCCCUGUCCAUCGGUCCAGUUCCUGACCGUUAAUUCGGUUUGAAAUGUUCCUGUAAACAUACACAAAUAAUUAGAAAUACCAAUCAGGUCCUUAUUUGACCUGGUUUACACUUUUGGUUAUUUUCUUAGUAAUCCUUGUAUUAAUUUCAUAAUAUUCGUGUACUUUACAAGUUAUAAUAAUAAGUUAUUUAUAAACUGAUCCUUCUAUUAUCUGAUCAUAGUUGAAAUAUUAUAACCUUGUGUUUAUUUUAUUACGCUUAGGUCCUAAUAACGUUUUUGUUGAAACAUUUAUGAAUAAGACCUUGUUAGUUAAUAACUAGCUGUUUAUUCUGUUUUAUCACAACUUUUGAAUUAUUUUUAUUUUACUUAGGUCCUUAGCUCAUGUUUCAUGGUAAAUUGCUAUUUUACCCUGGAUUUCAACAUAUUCUUAUACACCCAAUAUGGACGCACCAAAAGGAUCUAGAUGGGCCUUCUCAUUUUAUUCUUUAACUCAAAGGAUGAGGGCAUGGAUGGGUCCCUUGUGUAGUUGUGAAGGACAAACUCGAUAAGGAUGAUAUCAUCGUGAUCUAGUUCCUUGUAGUUCAUCUAUGGAUCUUGACAUAGACCAAAGAAAUAAAGAAGAUCUGAUAAGCCUUGAAUACAACUCAUAAACCUCUCUCUAGCUAGCUAGUUUAAUUUACUCUCUUCAGUAUUACAAGUGGCAAAAGCUAGAUCCUUCUCAUGUGUCCCCUAGAGAGGUAAAUAUAGUGGUGCCUGACUAGGCUAGCCAGGCUUGCCAGACCAAGCCUUUUUCCUCUCAGGUCUUAUGGACCAGGGUGGACUCGGUCUGGUAUACUUUCAGAAAGAUAGUGCCUCCCUCUUCCAAUAACCUUGAUGUAUUAAGAAUCUUUGGAAUUGCGUGAUAGUGAUGAUACAUGUGUCCAACUGUGCUCAGUUCUGUCGGUCAUCGGGAUCUUUUGGUCAUCGUCGUUCUGCUUAAUUUAUUUCAUUCGCCUUUUCCCUUCCGUUUCUAAUAACUAAUGAACUUGACAUUUGUUUUCCGCUCUUUAAUACAUUUUCAUCGAUUAUUGUUUUUCCCACAUCACCUUCCCAUUCCUCGACCAUAACAAGAUAGACGACUCUAUCAUACUGAAGUUGACUAACCUUGAGAGAAGGUCGUCUACCUCACUGAUGUGGGGGGCAUCAACUCUCUAGGGCACUCACUCUUGCCAAAAUCCAACCCCUAGCUAGCUAGGACCCUUGGAUCCCCUUUAUAGUCUAGAUUUAGGGCUAUUGGACCUACAUGGCGUCUACUCCUCUAGGUUGGGAUCUACCAAUUAAAUCAAAUAUCCUAUGAUUACCUUCGGGUCGGGCGUCCUUAGACACCAGUCGUGCUCUUUCGAACCGUCGCUACCUGGAGCACUAUGGGCUUCCAACGCUGGUCCUUUGGGCCUAUAAGGGUACAAGGUCAGAUGCGGCCUAGGCUAGGGUAUCAUUAUUCACCCUAGGUCGAAAACCCUCCAUGUUGGUCGACUAACUUCAAAAAAGAUUGAUUACCCUCCUCCAAGGUCGACCACCCCCUCUACGUCAAAGAUCCCUCACCUCCAAGGUUGUCUACCUUAUUCUAGAAGUUUUCUAGGUCAUUUCACGUCUACAGAAGUAGAUUAUUAAAUUUGUCUUGACCUUUCCUAUAAAUAGGAUUGAGGGACCCUUGGAAAAAAGGGUGCAAGAUUUCUUGUUAACGAAUCACUCAUCGGAAUAAGAGUGUUUCUUCAUAGUCCAAGCAAUCCCGGAUCGACGACCCUUACUAAGUGGUCACUAGUCAGAUCACGGUUCAACAUCUUUCUUUUAUUAGUGCAUGAUAUUUGGUUAUUUUGUGCAUCACUACUAGUGCUUUGGUUAUCGAGAAGUAACGGAAGGCGUGCAUACCCGCAUACCUUAACCCCCAACAUCUGGCACAAACGUUCAUGGGUAACAAGUCGUUUGUACCUAACAUUUGAGUGAUUUGAGAUAAGCAUGCACACGCCUCGCAGAGGACGUCGGAGAUCGGAAAGACAAGCCUGAAGUUAGAGUAUGAUGCUUACACGAUUAUAUAGUUGGCUAGAAGAGUUGAGGCACAUUGUCCAUCGGAGGGCCCACUUGAUAGGUUUCAGCCUUACAUAGAAGAAAAGCAUAUAAUCGGGGAUAUCAUUGGGCUUCAAGGAGAAGAUAUUUACCUUCGAGAUCGAAAACCGAUACAUUGGAGAACGACAUGGUUACUGCUUGCGUACUAUAGCCUUAGGAUCACGAUUCAACAUAAAUAUUAGGUAGAUGGCAACUUUGAAAGGGAGUAUUAAACUUAUACUGAACUUGUGAUCAAUAAUAAGAAAGAAUCAUAGUAUUCUGGAAUAUGAUACAAUUCAGGUGUGGUGUGGUCUGGUUAGGUGAAGUCUUAAAAACAUUAAUAUGUACAUGAAAUAUUAAAUCUUAAAAACAUUUUAUUUUUUGUUCAAGGCUUCUAGAAAAAGUCUACCUUGUCAAGAUCGUUAAUUUAUAUGUAUAUCAAUAAUUUUUGAUUAUUUUAUUAAGACUAAGCAAAACCAAUCAAAAUAUAUAUUAAAAGUCAAGAGUCAAAAUAAUCUAAAAAAUCAAGUAAUGUUAAUUGUGUCAAUUCAAUAUGAUUGUCAUUGAUUAAAAUAAUAUUUCAAAUAAUCACUCAAAUCAAUUUCUCAGAUGCUUAAAAAAAACUAAUUAUUUUUAAUAGGCUUAUUAAAUUUUUCAAAAUACUAUUAAAUAUUUUUGUUAUAUGAUAAUUUCAAACCUACAAAUAGUUCGUGUAUGUUUUUAUGUAGUGUAGAAAAGAUGACAAUGACAAUUAAAAAAUAAUCAUUCAAAUGGGAUAAAAUUGACUAAGCAAUUUUGCAUGGUAAUAGAAUAAUGGGGUAUUUAUUUUCUGGAAGUAAAAACAUUGACUAAGCAAUUUUGCAUGAUAAUAGAAUAAUGGGGUAUUUAUUUUCUGGAAGUAAAAACAUUGACUAAGCAAUUUUGCAUGGUAAUAGAAUAAUGGGGUAUUUAUUUUCUGGAAGUAAAAACAAUGUAUUCCAAUUAGUGUAUUAUUCAUUAUAUCUAAUAUUAAUUACGAUUUUGAUUUCACAUUAAAUAAUUAAUGGCACUGAAGACUGAUUCCAUUUUUCUAUCAAUAUAUAUCCUAUAUACAAUUCAUAUCAUUCUAUAUACAAAGCGAUAUAUAUAGAUAUUGAAUGCAGAGAAUGGUGAGAAAAGCAUUCAUGAAAGAACAGAAGAUAGGUGCAUCUGAAGUGCCAAUAUUGCUGGUUUCCUUGGGAUUAUUGAUUUUCUCUUUAUCAGUUAAUGGACAGAUGAUGGAUGGUAAUUAUAUGUUCUUCGACUAUAUAUGUAUAUCGUGUUAAUUAGCUCUGAAUCAUGCAUUCAAUUUGUAGAUGGAUUCAUAAGCAUCGAUUGUGGACAAGAAAAGAACUACACAGAUACCCCAACAGGUUUGCGCUAUGUUUCUGAUUUUGAUGGGUUUGUAGAUACUGGUGAGACUCACAAGAUCCCCACUGAUAUGGAACAAUAUGCAACGAACCGACAAGGGUACCAUUUGAGAAGUUUUCCGAAUGGAAGCAAGAACUGCUACAGAUUACGAGUUGAUGAGAAUAAAAAGUAUUUGAUAAGAGCAUCAUUCAUGUAUGGCAAUUAUGAUCAAAGAAACAAUCCUCCACAGUUUGAUCUCUAUCUGAAUGUCGAUCUAUUGAGCUCGGUUGAUCUUAGAGGACGAUCCAAAACUCAUGUAUUCUUAGAAAUUUCGGUUUUUGCUUCGAGAAAUCCGAUGUUUGUUUGUGUGGUAAAUAAAGGAUUGGGGACACCAUUUGUAUCCUCUUUGGAGUUGAGGCCUUUAAAAGAUGAUAUGUAUCCUUUAGUGACGAAUAAUCAAUCAUUCGUCCUCUUUCAACGAAGCAAUGUUCAACCAAUUAGAAAUGAAACAUUAAGGUAAAUCUUUUUUUUUCUAUCUUUAUAUGUCGUUCACAUAUAUAUUUUGAUAUGUUGUAUUUUCAGGUAUCCGACUGAUAUCUAUGAUCGCUUUUGGAUUCCAUAUUUCUCCAAGUCUUUGGAAACGUUAUCGACCGAAUCAAAUAUUAUGCAAUGUGCAGCUUGUUUAGGUUACCCAGCUCCAAUGGAUGUGUUGAAAACAUGUGGAGAGCCAAUUGCAAAUGGUUCAGAUAUAAAUAUCACAUUCGAGUGGCCACUUAAUAAUAUCACGUCUCGGAAAAUAGCCUAUGCAUUCCACUAUGCAGAAAUCCAACCCCUCACAACAAAUCAAUCAAGGAGUUGUUCUUUUCUUUCGAGCUUUUGGAAGCAAACCAAGCCAGAAGAGUUUCCAAAGUAUUUAACAGCAACUUAUUGGUACUUGAAAGAACCAAUACUGGUAUCAAUAGAUUUUUUCUACACGACUUUUCGCAAAACAAAAAAUUCUACACUUCCUCCACUCUUAAGUGCCAUGGAAAUAUAUGAAGUCAAACAAACAUCAAAGUUAAUUUCUACUGGGAAAGAAGGUAUAUAUGUCAAAUAUAGUAUGUACAUGUAAUUCAUUAAUCAAUCAAUUCAUUUAUUGUAUAUGUAUAUACAGUUGAAGCCAUGAUGGAAAUAAAAGAAUUCUACAAAUUGAAGAAGAAUUGGCAAGGGGAUCCAUGUGCUCCAGAGAACUUAAUUUGGGAAGGGAUCAAAUGUAGAAAUUUUUCGAUCGUUUCUUUGUAAGUCCGUUUUAAUUAUUUGAUGAAAAAAUAAUAUAUAUUACCCUCUACAUAAUUACAUAUAUCAUAAAUUGAAAAAUAUUUUCUUUCAAGUUAGAAUCAUGUUAAUAUGUGCGUGAUAAGAUAAUAUGAGAUAUCUGAUCUUUUUUAUCUAGAGAUUUAGAAUAUCACUGAGAUUGAGAUUAACGGUUGUGAUUAAACUAUCUCAUAUAAUAUCAUCACUCUUUUCUUUUCUUUUCUUUUCUUUUCUUUUAAUUAAUGUAUGUAUAUAUUUAAUAAUACUUAAUUAUAGGAACCUGUCAUCAAAUGGGCUGAGUGGGAAAAUAGCACUUUCAAUUAGAGAUCUCAAACAACUUGAAAACUUGUAAGCAGAGAAGAAAUAUAAUUUAUUUAGAUCCAAAUAUAAAUGAGAAGAAAUAUAAUAAAAUAUAAAUAAUUUAUUUAUUAUUAUUUUGUUGACAUAAAUGCAGAGACUUAUCAAACAACAAAUUGAAUGGAAAAAUCCCACACUUCCUUUCAGAUUUAGAAAAUCUUAAAUUUUUGUAAGUGUAUAUUUUUUUUAAAAUAAUCAUAACUACUAUCAAUUAUUCUCUUAACUAACUAGUUAUAAUAUAUUUAUCCAUAGGGAUGUGUCUAGGAAUAAUCUCAAUGGGGAUAUACCAGAAGGUUUGAAAAAAAUUUUUGAAGAUGGAUUCCUCACCAUGAGGUAUGAAUAAAAUUAAAAAACAAAACAAGUAUAAUCUUGUUUCAAUUCCUCCCAUAUAUUUUGGAUGUGAACAUAUAUAUAUGAAAAGUGAAUAUUGUUGGAUCCCCCCCAUCUUAUGUAAGGUUUGAAGGAAACCCUAAUAUUUGCGAAAACCCACACAAAUGCGGAAAGAGUACGUAGUUCAAACCAAAUUGUCAUCAUUAUUCCUAUUGUGGUAAUUAUCGCGAUAGCAGUCAUCGUGACUGUUAUUUGGAAAAGGAAAAGAAAACUCUAUGGUAAGCUAAUUAAACACUAUCUAGUUAAUUUUUGCAAAUUCUAAGAAUUAUGUUUACUAAUUACUUAUAUAUUAAAUUCUUUAAUUAAGGUCGAAAAAGAAUUAUUGAAAGUAAAGGAAGAGGAUCUUUCCGUCUUCCAUCUUUUAGUUCCAAUAACAAGAUAUUGACAUACAGCGAUUUGAUCAAUAUAACCAACGAUUUCGAUAAAAUAAUUGGACAAGGAGGAUUUGGUACUGUGUAUCAUGGAACAAUGAACAAUGGAAUUCAAGUGGCGGUUAAACAUCUCUCUGUUGCUUCAUCUCAAGGAUCAAAAGAAUUUCAAAUGGAGGUAGGCUUCAUUUAUACAUCCAUUAUUAUUUUUGAAAACACUUAAGAUAUCUUAUAAGAUAUGAAUCUAGACCAUGAACCAUAUCUUGAGAUCAUACUUCAGUUUAAUGACUAUAUAUAUAUAUGCAGGCACAUCUCCUUACAACGAUUCAUCACAAGAACCUAGUACCUUUGGUUGGGUAUUGUAAUGAGAAAGAUCAUCUAGCAUUGGUAUAUGAAUAUAUGGCAGGUGGAAAUCUAAAAGAUCGUCUUUCAGGUUUGUUAAAAUUAUACCAUCUAAGCUCUCCGUCGCAUGAACGCCUAGGUCGCCUAGACAUUGUCUGCAUAAUUUUAGAAAUAUUAAAAAAAUAUAUAUAAAUCAUUAGAAUGAAAUAAAAGUCAUAAGUAAAAUAAAAUAGUACUUACGAAGCCAUAAGGCUUCCUGAAAAAAAGGGAGAAGAAAAAAAUAGGUGGCUGGAAUUGAGAGGAAAAUGAGCUGGGAAUAAGGUUUUAAAACCCUAAUUCUCAUUUUUAUAAGAUUUAAAUAGGUAUUUGGGUUAGAUAGACGGAUCCAACCAUAUCCGUCUAACCCUCCUAGUGCAUGAAGACAGAUUGCCUACAGGUAUCGGGCCACAUGAUCGUCUAGGCGAUCGCAUGUAAAAGCCUGAUACCAUCAAACCAAAAUAUAUUUUUUUUGCACAUACUGAAAUUAUAUUAUUCUUACUUGUUGCAAAAAGGAUCAAUUGGCUCUUUGACGACAAUAUGCUGGAGAGAUCGACUUAGGAUAGCAUUAGAAGUUGCAGAAGGUACGUAAAACAAAAAACACACAAAAUUGUGUAAAUCUAACUAGUUCUUAUUUAAUUUAGUUUUAAUUUUAGAUUCAAAUUUCUUUGCUUAUGGUAUAUAAUAGGAUUGGAUUAUCUACAUAGAGGAUGCAAACCAACAAUAAUCCACCGAGAUAUAAAGACAAGCAACAUAUUAUUAUCGGAAAAAUUAGAAGCUAAGAUAACGGAUUUUGGAUUGUGUAAAAUCUUCGAAAAUAAUGAUGCAAUGACGCAUAUGUCAACUAAUGUGUUGGGUACUCCUGGUUAUCUCGACCCUGAGUAAGUCUUUAUAUAUCCAACUAUCAAUUAAGUAGACUCAAAAGAUCCAUGUAUGCAUCUAAUUCCAAUUCAUAAUUUUCUUGAUUUUACUGUCAAAGCCAUAUAUAGAUAUAGGGUGCAUUUUUUAUGCGGUUCAUCCUCAAUGCGGAUGACUGCGGUCGCCGUUCCGCAUUGGGAACGAUCCACCUCCCGUACUGGGACCUAUCGCCCGAACCACCGACACGAGGUUCGCGAUCUGGAACCCAUCGCGGUUACGUUACACGGUUCGGGCGGUUGGGGACGAACCGCGAUGGGUUCCAUCACCCGAACACACCGCGGUUCCAUACCAAUGGGUUCCGAUCAUGAUUGACCGUGGCAUGAGGUUCGCGAUGGCGCCUUACCGCGAUAUGUUUCGCCUUACCGCGAUAUGUUUGGGCUCUUCAAUCAUCGGAUGAUCGGACUUCGGUGGUUUUGUUGAAGUUAACGGACCUCAUGCCGUCCCCUCACCGCGUUGUGGUACGGUCCGCAACGGAGCACCGUCAGAUUGUCAAUUCAGUUGUCAAUCCGGGUGGGCGUCCGUAGGAGGUAUCAGGUGCGGACAACCACACCUGAUACGGGUUGUAUAGAUAUAUAUUACUUUAAGUCUUUAACUCCAGUCGCAAUUGUAAUCACAAACUAAUUUCAACCAUCUAUUCAUUCUAAUGUGUAGAUAUCGAAAAACAUACAAGUUGAAAGAGAAAAGUGAUGUUUACAGCUUUGGAAUCGUUCUUCUAGAAUUAAUAACAGGUAAACCUGCCGUAAUAAAGAAUGCAGACGAAGAUUAUAUUUUAUUGGGAGAAUGGAUGGAUGCAAUCCAUGCACGAGGGGAUAUACUUGCAAUUGUUGAUCCAAAGUUAAAUGGAGAAUAUGAUAUCAACUCUGCUUUGAAAGCUCUUGAGAUAGCCUCAGCAUGCACUCCUUCCUUAUCCGAACGAAGAUCAUCGAUGCAUGAUAUCGUGACACUUUUAAAGGAGUGCUUAGAGAUUGAAAUAACAUGUGGAGCUUGCAGAUAUAGAAGCUCGAAUUUUAUGGCUAAUUAUGAAGAUGAAAUGUUUACAGGUCCUACAAUAAGGUAGGGAUUGAAAUUCCCAAAGACUCUGCGUGCAGACAUCUAUGCAUACAUAUGGAGUUUGUCUAUUCUAUCUAAUAUAUGUGUGAUUCGCAUCCUCUAUCAAUUAUCACCUGAUCAAGUGAUAGGGAAUAAUAAAAAUGUUAGUUGUAGUAAUUUGAGAGGUUAUAUAGUGUUUUUUCCAUUUCAUCUAUGUAAAUGUCAUUGUAAUAAACAAAAGAAAUAAAAUAGAAAUUUUAUUAUGUGAUAUAGAAUCAAAAACAAUCAACGGAUUACAAUGAAUUAAUGAUGUUCAGAAAAUAUAGACAUAUGCAAAGAGUAAUUACUGGUGAGGGAAUUAAUCAACCAACAUAACCAAUAAUCUAUACUUAACGUAAGAGAAAGAAGAAACAGAUUACAUACCGUAGUAUUGAAUCUGAAGUUGAUUCGAUAUUGCAUCUUUGAAAGAGAAAAAGCGAUUGUCUGGCUUCUACAAAGAGGAAUACAUGUUAUUGUCCAAUGGACUCAACUCUAAGGAUGAUAUAAAUGGUGUUCCAAAUAUUUUUACCAAACAAACCACCAUCGAUUUUUUUAGGCAAAAGCCAUUAUUUCUACUGUAUGGUAUCAGACCCAUUAAGGUCAACUGAGAUCGACAUCCAGAUAGAAAUCAAACUGAAGAAUUCUAUUCAAUGUAUCAUAAUUAGCAUAUAGGAAUAAUACUCUAAUUAAGUACUUUUUUUUAUCUAUUUGGACAUAUAGUCUGUAGCAAUUUCUGGAUCCUUCAGGAAAGCUUCUUAAAUGAUAUCCCUGUUUAUUCGAUGCAAUUUUUUUUACCAUGCCAUGACUAGGAAUCUUUUUGUUUCAUACCACUUUCGACAAAGCUUGAAUCAGAUAUGUAGGUUAAAUCCGUUGCAUUAUCAACAUAAUCAUUUUCUUGACCACAGUUAAUGCUUAUGAAUUCUGAAUAUAUAUAAAAACGAGCAAAAUUUCGAGAUAAAAGGCAUUAAUAUUUAAAGAAACAGAAUUGAAAGAAUUGAACUAUGUAGAGAGUUUAGCGAUUAAGGAUUGACAUGUAUAUGUAGUUUUAAACUCACAGAUAUUCAUUAUCAUAAACAAAAAGAAAAAUUUCAAAUUACUUAUGUUUGUGAUUACUCCGAUUAGCAUUUCAACGGCCAAAACCUUGGUAGGAUUCAUUUGCAAUAACCCAAAAUCUCUAAAAUUUAAUAUGAAAUUGAGAAAAGGUUCGAUACCAUCAAGCUGACCAUGGACCUUAAUGAUGAGAUGAAUGCCAGAAAAUCCGUCAGAUGUAGAACAGAAGACAAUCUAUUCCUGCCAUUUUCAUUUUUAAAUCCUCAGCAUCUGAAUUUGCAAUAAUACAUCAGCUAAUAGAGAGAAGAAGAAAUGAGAGCUGUGCAAAUGAAAUUAGUAAGAUGGGGUUUAUUUACAACUGUGCUGGUAUGUUUCCAAGGGAGAGUGAUGUGGAAGGUCAACCCCUUUCAUCCUCAAGAGUUAUUGUCUGCACAUCUAUAUAUUCAUCAGCUAAUAUUACAAUUUUAUGGUGCUCUCGAUCUUGUCAUUUUUUAUCAGACAACCAAGAAUGGAAUUGCAAACAGCUGCAUUAUUAUUGAUUGAUUUAUUAGUUAAACUGGUAUACACUUGCAGAGCUUUCAAAUGAUUUCAACUAAUGUGUGGCUAAAAUGCCUAAAAAACGACUCCCUGAUAUCGAAAAAAACAAAAUGCUAUCAUUGAAUAUGAAAUAACCUGAGAAACCUCUGACCAUCUUCCCAAAUUCCCAAAAUGUCGCAAGAUAAUAUUCAAGUCUUGCACGAGCAAUACGUUCUCAAACCUGUAACGAGCAUAAAGCUUUGUAAAUCUCGGCAAUGUAUUGAACAUUUGAACCAAAUUUAGCAUAUGAAUAUACGAUCGAUCAACACACUGAAAAUGAGGCAGAUUUUGGAAUUACGAAGAGAGGGUUACCUGGAGAGAGUCGCAAGCAAGUCGGCGAAGUUCUUGAGUGCAGAUACAGCGGAUUGUCGUGGAGUGGGGCGGAAAUCAGAAGAUACAAUGACUGCGGAGGUGGAGGAAGUGGAAGCGGAAGAAGAGAGAUAGGAUUUGUGUAGGGUUUUGGAGAAAGAAGAGGAGGGAGAUGGAUUGCAAUUCCUGGUGGUGAUGUUGGUUAGGAGAAAAUGCGAUCGGAAUCUGGAGGAGACGGAUGGAGGUAGUGGAUAUGCG